rnacentral:rRNA from 1 species
AUUGAACGCUGGCGGCAGGCCUAACACAUGCAAGUCGAGCGGGGUUUUCGGACCUAGCGGCGGACGGGUGAGUAAUGCGUAGGAAGCUACCCGAUAGAGGGGGAUACCAGUUGGAAACGACUGUUAAUACCGCAUAAUGUCUACGGACCAAAGUGUGGGACCUUCGGGCCACAUGCUAUCGGAUGCGCCUACGUGGGAUUAGCUAGUUGGUGGGGUAAUGGCUCACCAAGGCGACGAUCCCUAGCUGGUUUGAGAGGAUGAUCAGCCACACUGGAACUGAGACACGGGCCAGACUCCUACGGGAGGCAGCAGUGGGGAAUAUUGGACAAUGGGCGCAAGCCUGAUCCAGCCAUGCCGCGUGUGUGAAGAAGGCCUUCGGGUUGUAAAGCACUUUCAGCGAGGAGGAAGGGUUAGUAGUUAAUAGCUGCUAAUUUUGACGUUACUCGCAGAAGAAGCACCGGCUAACUCUGUGCCAGCCGCCGCCGUAA